rnacentral:rRNA from 1 species
GACAGAGGGUGCAAACGUUGUUCGGAAUUACUGGGCGUAAAGCGCGUGUAGGCUGCUCUGAAAGUCGGAUGUGAAAGCCCUGGGCUCAACCUAGGAAGAGCACUCGAUACUACAGAGCUUGAGUCCUGGAGAGGAAGGCGGAAUUCUCGGUGUAGAGGUGAAAUUCGUAGAUAUCGAGAGGAACACCGAUUGCGAAGGCAGCUCGCUGGGACGUUACUGACGCUGAGACGCGAAAGCGUGGGGAGCAAACAGG